GCAGUGCAGCCCAUGGAGAUGACAGGCACCACUGAGAACAGACAGGAGGCCACUGCUCAAGGAGCUGCUGUGCCUCAGCUUAGUAUGUCGGGAGCAGGUUAGGAGCCGCCAGGAGGCAGCCAGCGGCCAUGUCCCGGCACCCAGUGAUUUUCCCUGUCAAUACCUCCCCCCUCACCUUUAUCAAUUACCUUUUAUUCCUGUUCCGAAUCUCAGGUCAAGUCUCCUCUGUUCCAGUGGGAAGCCUAUAUUUCCUUUUGUCAUCAUCAAAGCAGUUUAACUACUACCAUUCACACAUGUUGCUAUACCAAAUAUUUAUCUCGGGAGAUGGUUCUAAUAAGAAUGCUUCCUGAAAUACCGAUAAGAACAAGAUGUUAUCUAUCUAGCCCUCACACACACACACACACAAUCCAGC